GGAUUUAGAGACCGGCGCACGGGUGCGUAACGCGUAUGCAAUCUACCUUUUACAGAGGGAUAGCCCAGAGAAAUUUGGAUUAAUACCUCAUAGUAUAGCUCUACCGCAUGGUAGUACUAUUAAAGUCACAACGGUAAAAGAUGAGCAUGCGUCCCAUUAGCUAGUUGGUAAGGUAACGGCUUACCAAGGCUACGAUGGGUAGGGGUCCUGAGAGGGAGAUCCCCCACACUGGUACUGAGACACGGACCAGACUCCUACGGGAGGCAGCAGUGAGGAAUAUUGGACAAUGGGCGCAAGCCUGAUCCAGCCAUGCCGCGUGCAGGAUGACGGUCCUAUGGAUUGUAAACUGCUUUUAUACGAGAAGAAACACUACUUCGUGAAGUAGCUUGACGGUAUCGUAAGAAUAAGGAUCGGCUAACUCCGUGCCAGCAGCCGCGGUAAUACGGAGGAUCCAAGCGUUAUCCGGAAUCAUUGGGUUUAAAGGGUCCGUAGGCGGUUUAAUAAGUCAGUGGUGAAAGCCCAUCGCUCAACGGUGGAACGGCCAUUGAUACUGUUAGACUUGAAUUAUUAGGAAGUAACUAGAAUAUGUAGUGUAGCGGUGAAAUGCUUAGAGAUUACAUGGAAUACCAAUUGCGAAGGCAGGUUACUACUAAUGGAUUGACGCUGAUGGACGAAAGCGUGGGUAGCGAACAGGAUUAGAUACCCUGGUAGUCCACGCCGUAAACGAUGGAUACUAGCUGUUGGAAGCAAU
rnacentral:rRNA from 1 species